rnacentral:tRNA from 1 species
GCUUUCUUAGUUUAAUGGUAAAAUUCCUUCCUUCCAAGUAGGAGUUGUCAGUUCGAUUCUGACAGGAAGCUCCA